rnacentral:rRNA from 1 species
GAUGAACGCUGGCGGCGUGCCUAAUACAUGCAAGUCGAGCGAACAGAUGAGGAGCUUGCUCCUCUGACGUUAGCGGCGGACGGGUGAGUAAUACGUGGAUAACCUACCUAUAAGACUGGGAUAACUUCGGGAAACCGGAGCUAAUACCGGAUAAUAUAUUGAACCGCAUGGUUCAAUAGUGAAAGACGGUUUUGCUGUCACUUAUAGAUGGAUCCGCGCCGCAUUAGCUAGUUGGUAAGGUAACGGCUUACCAAGGCAACGAUGCGUAGCCGACCUGAGAGGGUGAUCGGCCACACUGGAACUGAGACACGGUCCAGACUCCUACGGGAGGCAGCAGUAGGGAAUCUUCCGCAAUGGGCGAAAGCCUGACGGAGCAACGCCGCGUGAGUGAUGAAGGUCUACGGAUCGUAAAACUCUGUUAUUAGGGAAGAACAAAUGUGUAAGUAACUAUGCACGUCUUGACGGUACCUAAUCAGAAAGCCACGGCUAACUACGUG